CAGUCCCGCGGUAAUACGUAGGGUGCAAGCGUUAAUCGGAAUUACUGGGCGUAAAGCGUGCGCAGGCGGUUAUAUAAGACAGAUGUGAAAUCCCCGGGCUCAACCUGGGAACUGCAUUUGUGACUGUAUAGCUAGAGUACGGCAGAGGGGGAUGGAAUUCCGCGUGUAGCAGUGAAAUGCGUAGAUAUGCGGAGGAACACCGAUGGCGAAGGCAAUCCCCUGGGCCUGUACUGACGCUCAUGCACGAAAGCGUGGGGAGCAAACAGGAUUAGAUACCCCUGUAGUCCCUGUCUCUUAUACC
rnacentral:rRNA from 1 species